rnacentral:ncRNA from 1 species
GAUUACACAACGACCUUUCUGUGAUCGCGGCUG